UCUUUUGUGCCCAUUUGUGUCUCUCUCAGAAUCAAACCCGCUGUCUCCGCUGUUGAUUUCUUCAUUUGAAAUGAUGCUUCUCCUCGUUUAUGCCUCCACACUUUUCUGGGUCUCAGUCUCUGUUCAUUUUCUUCGUCCUCCAUCCCAUGGACUGGCUUUUCAUGGCCGUUCUUCAUAGCUCUAUGACUGAUCUUGGUUGCCACAACCAGAAGCCAUCGCUCCCAAAUAAAGGUGAAGAGUGAUAUCCCAUGACUCCAUGUGCAUGCCAUGAUGUUUUGAAUCCUAGGUCUCCUCUCCUUUUCCCCUCUAAAGGUUCGAAAUAAGGAUACAUCAAUCGGAAGCUAGGCUUGCUCACUAGUAAGAGAUCCUACAGUGUUUGAUCCUGACUGGUUAAAUAAAUAUUCUGUAGGUCUUUGAUGCCUAAACCAGAAAGCUCUUCUCCCAGCAAUUGCCUGCAUUUAUGACAGUCUAAAUGUGGCUUACUCCAAUCAAGAAUAGGUUAUGGCACAUUUGAUGUGGGCGUGAAUGCACUUGCAAGAAUGCAACUUGUCCAUAUGAGUUUUCUACAUAUAGAUAUGACAAAGAUACUGAAGUCUGUCUGCAUUGACAGCUGCAUUCAAGACUCUAUGCUAUCCCCUCUUUUUCUUUUUCCCAUUUUAUGGCCAAAAGAUGUGGAAAGUAUGGUGGACUAGUGGCUUCUGUUAGUGAUUUUUAUCAUUGUGGUGAAACAAAAGAACUAAAACAGUCCUACAAGAGCCUUUACUAGAUGGCAAAGGAAAUUCUUCAUGGAUAACUUACAUAUGCAAGUUUGAACAAAUUGAAAGGUUCCAAUAAACAAUCAAUGGCAAGACCUAAAUAUAUAGCAUCCUUUAUGUGAAAGUCUCAUCUUGGUCCC